UGGGGAAUAUUGCACAAUGGGGGGAAACCCGUGAUGCAGCGACGCCGCGUGAGCGAUGAAGUAUUUCGGUAUGUAAAGCUCUAUCAGCAGGGAAGAAAAUGACGGUACCUGACUAAGAAGCCCGGGCUAACUACGUGCC
rnacentral:rRNA from 1 species